rnacentral:ncRNA from 1 species
CUUUCUCUGUAAGGAGACCGAGUCCCUGGAAUGGGUUCGCCUGAGAUAGGGAUGGUGGCUCCGUAGAGCAGUGCGGUUCUUGCGCUGUCCGGUGCGCUCGCGUCGGCCCUUGAAAAUCCGAGUGAGGGAGUGUGAUUUUCGUGCCGGACCGUACCCACAUCCGCAGCAGGUCUCCAAGGUGAACAGCCUCUAGUCGAUGGACCAAUGUAGGUAAGGGAAGUCGGCAAAACGGAUCCGUAACCUUGGGAUAAGGAUUGGCUCUGAGGACUGAGCCGGUCGGGCUGGGGACCUGAAGCAGGAACGGCACUGCACCGGGACUGGGCGGGGCUCGCUGUUCACGCGGCGCGGCCAAGCCCGGACCAGCGUCAGGACCUUCCUGAGGAAAGCCUCAGCUGCGCGGCGUCCGAGGGCUUCGUGCCCAAAGUGCUAUGCUUCGGCCGGCAAAAAACAGUCAACUCAGAACUGGCACGGACCGGGGGAAUCCGACUGUCUAAUUAAAACAAAGCAUUGCGAUGGCCGCUGGUCGGUGUUGACGCAAUGUGAUUUCUGCCCAGUGCUCUGAAUGUCAACGUGAAGAGAUUCAUCAAAGCGCGGGUAAACGGCGGGAGUAACUAUGACUCUCUUGUACAGUGGGUGGAAGUCAUGUGUCCACCUGGGCACGAGAUGGCUACUCCUACUACUGCAGUAAUGCAGGAGGAGGGAACCUCGGAAGCAAAGGUAAAUCUCUUCUAUCCGGUGACAUCGCGGGAGGUGACGAGUAAUCUGCCACCCGUGAAGUCGGCCCCUGGGCCUGACGGGUUCACCGCGCGACUGUUGAGGACGGUUCCCAACACCACACUCGAGGUCAUCAUGAACCUAAUGGCUCUGGUGAAACGCGUGCCGACGUCGCUGAGAGGGGCGCGCACGACCUUCAUUCCAAAGAAGUCCCCAGCCAAGUGCUACUCGGACUUCCGCCCCAUAACGGUCUCCAGCGUGCUGCUAAGACUGUAUCACAGGAUCCUGGCGAAGCGACUGAUCAACGAACUGGAUUUCGACUACAGGCAGCGAGCUUUCACCCCUGUAGACGGAUGCGCAGAAAACGUCUUCCUGUUGGUCUCCGUUCUGGAGGACGCCAAGCAAAAGCUCCGGCCGCUGCACAUGGCAAGCCUGGACCUGUCCAAGGCUUUCGACAGGGUGACGACAGA